UACGAAGGUGGCUAGCGUUGUUCGGAUUUACUGGGCGUAAAGCGCAUGUAGGCGGACCAUUAAGUUGGGGGUGAAAUCCCGAGGCUCAACCUCGGAAUUGCCUCCAAAACUGGCGGUAUGGAGCAGAAGAGAGGCGAGUGGAAUUCCGAGUGUAGAGGUGAAAUUCGUAGAUAUUCGGAGGAACACAAGUGGCGAAGGCGACUCGCUGGCUUCUUGCUGACGCUGAGAUGCGAAAGCGUGGGGAGCAAACAGG
rnacentral:rRNA from 1 species